rnacentral:misc_RNA from 1 species
GUUUGAUUCUGAAAGGGGAGGACAAAACAAACCAACUCUAGUUUUUCAACUGAAGAAUUCGGGGGAGAAGGCGAGUUGUAUCUCUUGAAUAGCGAAGCUUGGAAAAAUGGCAGUGAGCUUGGCAGGAGAGAAGGUAAUUCUUGUACCAUACAUGGCGGCUCACGUCCCCAAGUACCACCACUGGAUGCAAGACCCGGCUCUGCUCCAAGCCACUGGGUCGGAGCCCCUCUCUCUCGAAGAGGAAUACCAGAUGCAGCAGUCCUGGACCCAGGACCCCCUCAGUUCUCUCUCUUUCUCUCUGCUGCAAUAUUGUCUGAUUGAUGUGUACUGUUGUUUAUUUUAGCUUUCUGAUAAUAGU